rnacentral:tRNA from 1 species
UCGGAGAUCGUCUAACGGUAGGACAACAGACUCUGACUCUGUUAAUUGGGGUUCGAAUCCCUAUCUCCGAACAA